rnacentral:ncRNA from 1 species
ACCGAUGAGGGUACUCUCUUUGCGAAGAGAGUUUAAUAGGGAAGAGAGGUCAUUCCUCCGCAGCCCCCGCUACUGUUCGGAGCGCGGCGUAUUCACUGCGAAAGCGGGAAGGAUACGCCAAAGCAAACGCUUCGGGAAGUCGUCGGAAUUGCCGCAGGGUUCGCAGCGUGCGAAGCGCGGCAACUUCGGAAGGCGCAAUGCGCCGACGACGAGAGCCAGGAGACCUGCCCGCAUCGGA